rnacentral:rRNA from 1 species
UCCGUAGGCGGGCUAAUAAGUCAGGGGUGAAAUCCCAUAGCUUAACUGUGGAACUGCCUUUGAUACUGUUAGUCUUGAGUUAUAUGGAAGUAGAUAGAAUGUGUAGUGUAGCGGUGAAAUGCAUAGAUAUUACACAGAAUACCGAUUGCGAAGGCAGUCUACUACAUAUAUACUGACGCUAAUGGACGAAAGCGUGGCGAGCGAACAGGAUUAGAUACCCUGGUAGUCC